rnacentral:rRNA from 1 species
UACGUAGGGUGCGAGCGUUGUCCGGAUUUAUUGGGCGUAAAGGGCUCGUAGGCGGUUUGUCGCGUCGGAAGUGAAAGCCCACUGCUUAACGGUGGGUCUGCUUUCGGUACGGGCAGACUGGAGUGUGGCAGGGGAGACUGGAAUUCCCGGUGUAGCGGUGAAAUGCGCAGAUAUCGGGAAGAACACCCGUGGCGAAGGCGGCUCUCUGGGACGGUACUGACGCUGAGACGCGAAAGCGUGGGGAGCGAACAGG